rnacentral:tRNA from 1 species
CCCUGGUUAGCUCAGUUGCUGGAGAGCUCCACUAAAAAUGGAGAGGUCCCGGGUUCGAUACCCGGACCAGACG